GAGAUGUUAGAGUAUGACGUGAAUGUUAAAGAAGCUAUUAUUGCUGAAGAAGUUAACCAAGUCAUGCAGACCGUUUAUUUUCCAACCGCUGCAGAUCAAAGAUCAAGAUCGAGGACCUUGAGCCGUUAUGGUUGUUACUAGCAAAGACAGAAUGGUCGUGAUUGUCAAAGUUUGGGAAAUCCUGGAACGUUUGCAUCAUUCGCGCUUUGGUGGUUCUUGUGAAGAGUUAGGAAUUUAGGUUACCCUUCCUCAUGAAGUUACCCGAUCUAGUUACCUAUACCUAAGAUAACACUUGUUGAACUUGUCCGCUUUUCCUUACCGUUAGUCCACAUCCAAGUGUUAGGCUAUUUGGGUAGAGCCUACACUUUAUAGUUGUCUGGACCGUCAAAACCCCUGAAAGGUCCAAUCACAGGUUUGCUUCUUAUCCCAUUGUGUGUUGUGUGCAUUUUUAAAAUCUUAUAAUUGAUUGAAAUAAAAAAAAAUAUAUAUAUAUAUAUAUAUAUAUAUAUAUAUAUGUGAAUUGUGAUCAAGGUGUCGUAAGAGACCUUGCCUAUGGAUGGAGUUUUCCGCCCAUAUCGUGUUUUAUUCGGGAAUAACACAUAGUUGUAGUUCCCGAGCAUUGUCAUAGUAUUAGAAAGGAUUCACUUUGGUGAAUUCAAGUAUCCGUUCUUAUUUGUGGAAGUAUUGGCUGCCAUUUGAAGUAAUGGUAUGCCUUCCCCAUUCCUUAGUACUUCUGUUAGAGCGGUAUGUUUCUAUCUAGAGUGAGAUUUGCUAUCUAGUUACCGAGCUCAAUUAGGAUGUCGAGGAAAGAAGUAUUAGGAAGAAGACCCGUCACUGUUGGCCUACAAUGAUACUCUACCAAGUGUUUGAGCAUGCUCAUAACAGUUUGGCAAGUUGAAAAACUUUUGGGAAAAAGGUGAAGAAGUGUACUCUAGUAACUUGAUUGUUUAAAUUGUAAAAGAUGAAAAGGUGCAGAGUAGAAGACAGUCUGAUAAUCAAGAAAGAUGAAGAUGUGGUUAAGGCAUUGAAAGGAUGGUUGACAUCUAAAAGUAACAUGUUCACUAUUCUUGUUGAACCUGGAUUCGCUGCAAUAGCCUAGGGAUUUCACCAAGUGGUUCUUGCCGAGUUCUAGUAGUAGUUAGAAGAUUAUAAAAGGGUCUCAGAUAGAUCAGAAGUGUAAAGAAUACAGUAAGUGAAAUCAUUCUUGGAAUGGGUGAGUGUGAGUAUUUGAGAGUAGCACCCCUGGUCCGAAUCAUGUUGGUGUGAUUGAUCGUGCAUGUUCUUGUUUGAUUGUUGCACGGUUAAUCAAGUUAACAUUGACCAGACUGGAGAUGUUAUUUUCACGUAUGGCACAUCACCUAACGUUCCAAAUUUCAUGUUGCUGUUAUGGGAGAAAGUCAGAUAGAAAAGGUUGAGAAGUAAUAGUCUACAUAUACAAGAUUGUUAGAAAAAGUAUGCAGACCGCAGUUGACAAGAAUUGUGCAGACUAAAGAAUUUGGUUAUCUUGAAAGUGGCUGCUCAGAAAAGAAAGGAUCGGUUGGGGGAAUCAAGGGAUCGACCAUGAGUUGUUUUGAUAUGGGAAGAUUAAGAUAAGGUAAGAGCUAAUAUCCAUAACUCCUUUCAGAGACUGUUCAGUAAAGAGUGUACAGCUACGUUUUCAGAAUUCGGGGACGAAUUCUAUUGAGGAGGGAAGAAUGUAAUAACCCUCACGAG